UAACUGAUAUUCCAAGGAGUGGAAUGAUGGAGUAACGCCCUGAAACGCUCCGCCUAAUACUACGGCAAAGGAUAGGGACGUGCAACAGUCCAAAUCCGAUGCAGCCCGUUGAAGUCGGCUGAAAACCGCCCUAACGCAUAACGGCGAGGAAGGCGCCCCAGAGGUGGGGUGUGCGGUCUAUAGGCCGGGGCUCUACAAA
rnacentral:ncRNA from 1 species